rnacentral:rRNA from 1 species
GUCGCUCUUACCGAUGGAUUAUAUUAUGAGUUGGCAGGACCGUCCAGGAAAUGCCUCGAAUAAUGUGAUCUAAAGGAAAGAGAAGUCGUAACAAGGCAUCGGUAG